GGGGCUAUCCUAAAGCUUUUGCUUUACUUCGGUCUGCUACCUCUUACCCAUGUCUUUUGAGUACCUUCGUUUCCUCGGCGGGUCCGCCCGCCGAUUGGACAACAUUCAAACCCUUUGCAGUUGCAAUCAGCGUCUGAAAAAACAUAAUAGUUACAACUUUCAACAACGGAUCUCUUGGUUCUGGCAUCGAUGAAGAACGCAGCGAAAUGCGAUAAGUAGUGUGAAUUGCAGAAUUCAGUGAAUCAUCGAAUCUUUGAACGCACAUUGCGCCCCUUGGUAUUCCAUGGGGCAUGCCUGUUCGAGCGUCAUUUGUACCUUCAAGCUCUGCUUGGUGUUGGGUGUUUGUCUCGCCUCUGCGUGUAGACUCGCCUUAAAACAAUUGGCAGCCGGCGUAUUGAUUUCGGAGCGCAGUACAUCUCGCGCUUUGCACUCAUAACGACGACGUCCAAAAGUACAUUUUUACACUCUUGACCUCGGAUCAGGUAGGGAUACCCGCUGAACUUAAGCAUAUCAAUAAGCGGAGGAA
rnacentral:rRNA from 1 species